ensembl:lncRNA
UGGGCAUGAUAUUUCACAGCAGCGGUGGAGGAAAGAAAGCCAUAAUGUUUUGGAAACACGUGAGGACUCUCUCUCACAAUUAUUCAGAUCAUCUGAAGACUCUGACAUUCACUUAUUAUUUACCACAUCAACAGCACUUCACACCGAUGAGAUGAUACACUAUAGAUGAAUCACUUUCAUCGUCACAUUCACCACAAGCUGAAGAAGAUCUCACGGCUUCCGUCUUAUAUAAGGUGCUCUGGACAUAAACACAGGAUGUAUGUGCAUAUAAACCCCACGAAGCACUGGAUCUGGUGGAGGAUAAUGGUGUGUGUUGGCACAGCUGUGUGUAACAGCCCCACCAGCGCUCCGCUCUUUUAUCUCCUUCUGUAAUGUGCACAGGUGCUGCUUAAUUCAAUUGGAAAACGUUGCCAUGGUUUUACAUUAAUAUGUUUCUAUGUUGCCGGCGCAUUGGUUGUCAUGGAGAUGAUGGGACUUAUUUAAGCUGAAACCUCAGCUUUGGUUGGAAGGAAAGGGGGGGGGAAAACACGAGAGAAAAGAAGAGAGAGAAGUCUGUGUGUGUUUUCAUCUCAUUAGAUUUAGAUUUGUUUUUUAACCCACAGUCAAAAGAAAAAAUUGCUACAAAACGGAUCUGUGCCACACAAGUCUUAUUGUGUUUCAUUAGAGAAAGUGAAACAAGCUUUCAGUUUAAUUAAAUGACUUGCAGAGAGCAGCACAUCCUUUCAUAACCCGUGAUUGCUCUCCUGAGCUCUCUGCAAAACCACACCACGAGCUCUUUCUACAACAUGUUGUGAGCAUUUAUUGUAUUCUGUUGAGGGUUUCGGGCAGGUUUCUAUUUACACGGUACAUCCGAGCACGCACUUUAAUUGUCUCACAAUGAAAUAAGCAAUAGCCGGUUAGAAGAACUCCAUAACCUCAGGUGGAUGCGAGCGAGGGUCUGUUAAAGGCAACAUGAAACGGCAUCGACAACACAACAGUGAAUCGAUUUUAUGUUGACUUCAAAGCAAUAGUUCACCCCAAAACUGAAGCUGGCUGAAAAUGUCCUCACACUCAGGUCAUCCAAGAUGUAGAUGAGCUUGUUUCUUCAUCAGAUUUGGAGAAAUGUAGCAUUGCAUCACUUGCUCGCAAAUGGAUGUGAAUGGGUGC